rnacentral:rRNA from 1 species
AGUGAACGCUGGCGGUAGGCCUAACACAUGCAAGUCGAACGGCAGCACAGUAAGAGCUUGCUCUUACGGGUGGCGAGUGGCGGACGGGUGAGGAAUACAUCGGAAUCUACUUUUUCGUGGGGGAUAACGUAGGGAAACUUACGCUAAUACCGCAUACGACCUACGGGUGAAAGCAGGGGAUCUUCGGACCUUGCGCGAUUGAAUGAGCCGAUGUCGGAUUAGCUAGUUGGCGGGGUAAAGGCCCACCAAGGCGACGAUCCGUAGCUGGUCUGAGAGGAUGGUCAGCCACACUGGAACUGAGACACGGUCCAGACUCCUACGGGAGGCAGCAGUGGGGAAUAUUGGACAAUGGGGGCAAGCCUGAUCCAGCCAUACCGCGUGGGUGAAGAAGGCCUUCGGGUUGUAAAGCCCUUUUGUUGGGAAAGAAAAGCAGCAGGUUAAUACCCCGCUGUUCUGACGGUACCCAAAGAAUAAGCACCGGCUAACUUCGUG